CUGCAGAACAACACUGCCCAGAAACCUCCCUGCUCUGCCAGGGACCAGCAGCACUGCCCUGAGCUCUGGGGACAUGCCAUGGUGUCACCACCUCAGGUGUGCACAGCCAGCUGCCAUCCAUGCUGUCAUAUUAGAAAAAAUUCAGAAUUAAAGCCACAUCAAGUCCAAGCUCAGAGAGAGUAACUUGUGGUGUCCACAUUGAGCCCCCAGUUUAUGGCAUUAUUGCUCAGGGACUGUAAACAGGAUUCACCAGAAGUCAGAUGUGUCUCCAUGGGCCCAACAAAAAACAAAAAACAGGAGUUUUGUGCAGCAUCCUUCUGUGGCAGCAGCUGUUACCUGCAAACCAGCCUUCUUCUGCUAUGGAUUUUUGCCUUGGUGGGCUUAGAUAAAUAUCAUUCAAAUCAUGGAGUCUGAUUCGUGAGUCAGGACCAUGGCAGCCCUCCAAAACCUCCUGCCCAUGGAGUGUGUUUGUGUGAGAGGGAGAGAGAGUUUCACUGCGUGAAGAGUAAGAAACUGGAAGCCAAGUGAAUUAAAUACAAAGCAGAUAAUUAUGUGUAAUUCAUUUACUGACUAAUGAUUGCACCUUGGUAUGGAGGUUCAUGAAUUUGACUCUGCAAGGUUCUCAAGAACAAUCUCCUUGCUACAAGAUAAGAGCUGGCUGACUUGUUAACAGACCAGUGUUUACAUUAGUGUUAUUGUAAGAUUCUGCCUUUUUGGCUCAUUUCACGUUUUACCUCAUGGCCAUUCACUUUUCCUGGGUUCAUCUGGUGUCUCUGACAGUUUCAAUAGCUCAGUGCUGGUCAAGGCUGGCUGUCCCUGCAGACUGAAGGCAUCAUCUGCUCCUGGAAUCAAUCACACACAGCUCUUCUCUCCUGUCUGCUGCAGCCAAACCUUGCCAUGGAGUCUGUGAUUUUGGCAGGGGAGCAGCAGGUCACAGCCCCCUUUCCCCAGUGCUGGUGUCCCCAGCACGCUGUCACUCUUCCUGGUGUCACCAGUGGCCACUGCAGCCUGAUGCCACCAGCACCUUCCAGCUGAAGGCAGUGCCAACCUCCCCCUACGAACACUGGGUGGAUUUUGGGUUGAAGACACAAAGACAAAGCUUUUGAUGGGGUGAAAAAGUUUGUGCUGACCCAAUGAAACCCAGCAGCAGUGUCUCAGUGUUGAUGUCACUGCUAAGACCUCGGCCUGUGUGACACCACUCAUGCCUGGCACCCCCGGCCCCCUGGGCAUCUGCAGCUCCAGGCUGGAGGUGUGAACCAUGCCAGGCAGCAGAGGUGCCACCCAAGGUGACAUUUGUACCAAGUGGCAGAGCCUGGCAUAAGCAGAGCCCCUCUCCACCCCUCCCCUCCAAGUAAAACUCUACACUCAGUUUUAAUUGCUCAGGACGUCUGUGAUGAUGGUUUGGUAGUCAAUGGACAUUUGACUGGGCCAUCAUGGAACUGGGAAGCAUUGUUUUAUCAAUCAGUUUAAGCACAGGGCACAUGAGAGGUGACUGCACAGCUUUGUGCUCGAGGCAGAGGGACAGGAAAAAUGUACUUCUCUAUGAGAUACACAUAAAGACUGAUUUGGGGAAGGGAACAAAACAAGAAUGAGAUAUCCUUAAGGGAAUAAUAAGGGAAAGGGGAAGUCAUUUGGUAGCUUGAAUAGAGACUAUUUAAUAAAUCAUGAUCACACUGAAGGAAGAAAGGCCA
rnacentral:lncRNA from 1 species